UACGGAGGGGGCUAGCGUUGUUCGGAAUUACUGGGCGUAAAGCGCACGUAGGCGGCUUUGUAAGUUAGAGGUGAAAGCCCGGGGCUCAACUCCGGAAUUGCCUUUAAGACUGCAUCGCUAGAAUUGUGGAGAGGUAAGUGGGAAUUCCGAGUGUAGAGGUGAAAUUCGUAGAUAUUCGGAAGAAACACCAGUGGCGAAGGCGACUUACUGGACACAUAUUGACGCUGAGGUGCGAAAGCGUGGGGAGCAAACAGGG
rnacentral:rRNA from 1 species